rnacentral:rRNA from 1 species
UACGUAGGGCGCAAGCGUUGUCCGGAAUUAUUGGGCGUAAAGAGCUCGUAGGCGGUUUGUCGCGUCUGCUGUGAAAACCUAAGGCUCAACCUUGGGCUUGCAGUGGGUACGGGCAGACUAGAGUGCGGUAGGGGUGACUGGAAUUCCUGGUGUAGCGGUGGAAUGCGCAGAUAUCAGGAGGAACACCGAUGGCGAAGGCAGGUCUCUGGGCCAUUACUGACACUGAGGCGCGACAGCGUGGGGAGCAAACAGU